rnacentral:rRNA from 1 species
AUGAACGCUGGCGGCGUGCCUAAUACAUGCAAGUCGAACGAGACCUUCGGGUCUAGUGGCGGACGGGUGAGUAACACGUUGGUACCUACCCCUAAGUGGGGAAUAACUGCCCGAAAGGGUGGCUAAUACCGCAUAAUCCCGCAAGGGUAAAGCGAGUAAUCGCGCUUAGGGAGGGGCCUGCGUCUGAUUAGCUAGUUGGUAGGGUAAUGGCCUACCAAGGCGACGAUCAGUAGCUGGAUCGAGAGGUUGACCAGCCACACUGGGACUGAGAUACGGCCCAGACUCCUACGGAAGGCAGCAGUAAGGAAUCUUCCACAAUGGACGAAAGUCUGAUGGAGCAACGCCGCGUGCAGGAUGACGGCCUUCGGGUUGUAAACUGCUUUAUAUGGGAAGAUUAUGACGGUACCAUAUGAAUAAGGACCGGCUAACUACGUGCCAGCAGCCGCGGUAAUACGUAGGGGUCCAAGCGUUAUCCGGAAUCACUGGGCGUAAAGCGUGCGUAGGUGGACGUUUAAGUGAGAGGUUAAAUCGUGUGGCUCAACCAUAUCGAUGCCUCUCAUACUGGGCGUCUAGAGGACAGCAGAGGCAAGUGGAAUUAGCAGUGUAGCAGUGAAAUGCGUAGAUAUUGCUAGGAACACCAAUGGCGAAGGCAGCUUGCUGGGCUACUCCUGACACUGAGGUACGAAAGCGUGGGGAGCGAACAGGAUUAGAUACCCUGGUAGUCCACGCCGUAAACGAUGCAUACUAGACGUAUGGGGUAUCGACCCCCUGUGCGUCGCAGCUUAACGCGAUAAGUAUGCCGCCUGGGAAGUACGGCCGCAAGGCUAAAACUCAAAGGAAUUGACGGGGACCCGCACAAGCAGAGGAGGAUGUGGUUUAAUAUGACGCUACGCGUAGAACCUUACCGAGGCUUGACAUCUUAGGAACCUACUGGAAACAGUGGGGUGCCUUCGGGAGCCUAAUGACAGGUGCUGCAUGGCCGUCGUCAGCUCGUGUCGUGAGAUGUUGGGUUAAGUCCCGCAACGAGCGCAACCCUUAUCGUAUGUUGUAUUUUUCAUGCGAGACUGCCCGGGCCAACCGGGAGGAAGGUGGGGAUGACGUCAGGUCGGCAUGGCCCUUACGCCUCGGGCCACACACGUCCUACAAUGGCUAGUACAACGCGUUGCCAACCCGUGAGGGGGAGCUAAUCGCAUCAAAACUAGUCUCAGUUCGGAUUGCAGGCUGCAACUCGCCUGCAUGAAGUCGGAUUUGCUAGUAAACGUGGGUCAGCACACCACGUUGAAUACGUUCCCGGGUCUUGUACACACCGCCCGUCACGUCACGGAAGUCGCCAACACCCGAAGUGCCUACUUUGCUAGGCCCUAAGGUGGGGGUGUAACUGGGAUG